rnacentral:ncRNA from 2 species
GGCACACAGGAGAUGCAUGGUGCUCGACGCGGCGCAAAGCGCCGGAGCAUAAUCGGGAAUGGGGAUGGGCGGACCCAGUUGCGGCGCCCCAAACCCCAGCCGCCCCCGCGACUGUAAGCGGUAAGGGACUCCGAACCGCCACUGGGCCGCAAGGCUCGGGAAGGCCGGAGAACCCAGUGAGCCGCGAGCCAGGAGACCGGCCGUGCGUGUUUUGAGGCC